rnacentral:tRNA from 1 species
GCUGUAACUCAGUGGUAGAGCACUUGCCUAGCACAAGUGAGGCCCUGGGUUCAAUCCCCAGUACUGCA